rnacentral:rRNA from 1 species
GACGAACCGAGCGAACGUUGUUCGGAAUCACUGGGCUUAAAGGGCGCGUAGGUGGCGCGACAAGUCAACGGUGAAAGCUCGGCGCUCAACGCCGAGUCGGCCGUCGAUACUGUUGGGCUUGAGCACUGUAGAGGCUAAUGGAAUUCCGGGUGUAGCGGUGGAAUGCGUAGAGAUCCGGAAGAACACCGGUGGCGAAGGCGGUUAGCUGGGCAGUUGCUGACACUGAGGCGCGACAGCGUGGGGAGCAAACAGG